CCACAGCUUUCUUGAACUU
rnacentral:snRNA from 1 species